UGCAUCCCCAGAACUGAGUUUCAAGCUAG
rnacentral:piRNA from 1 species